rnacentral:rRNA from 1 species
AUUGAACGCUGGCGGCAGGCUUAACACAUGCAAGUCGAACGAGUGGCGGACGGGUGAGUAAUGCUUGGGAAUCUCGCUUAUGGAGGGGGUUAACUACGGGAAACUGUAGCUAAUACCGCGUACCAUAGGAUGAGCCCAAGUGGUAUUAGGUAGUUGGUGAGGUAAAGGCUCACCAAGACGACGAUCUCUAGCUGGUCUGAGAGGAUGACCAGCCACACUGGGACUGAGACACGGCCCAGACUCCAACGGGAGGCAGCAGUGGGGAAUAUUGCACAAUGGGCGCAAGCCUGAUGCAGCCAUGCCGCGUGUAUGAAGAAGGCCUUCGGGUUGUAAAGUACUUUCAGUCGGGAGGCGUUACCGACAGAAGAAGCACCGGCUAACUCCGUGCCAGCAGCCGCGGUAAUUC